CCUACGGGAGGCAGCAGUGGGGGAUAUUGCACAAUGGGGGGAACCCUGAUGCAGCGACGCCGCGUGGGUGAAGAAGCGCCUCGGCGCGUAAAGCCCUGUCAGCAGGGAAGAAAAUGACGGUACCUGAAGAAGAAGCCCCGGCUAACUACGUGCCAGCAGCCGCGGGAAUACGUAGGGGGCAAGCGUUAUCCGGAUUUACUGGGUGUAAAGGGGGCGCAGACGGCGAUGCAAGCCAGGAGUGAAAGCCCGGGGCCCAACCCCGGGACUGCUCUUGGAACUGCGUGGCUGGAGUGCAGGAGGGGCAGGCGGAAUUCCUGGUGUAGCGGUGAAAUGCGUAAAUAUCAGGAGGAACACCGGUGGCGAAGGCGGCCUGCUGGACUGCAACUGACGUUGAGGCCCGAAAGCGUGGGGAGCAAACAGGAUUAGAUACCCGAGUAGUC
rnacentral:rRNA from 1 species